rnacentral:rRNA from 1 species
UACGUAGGGGGCAAGCGUUGUCCGGAUUUAUUGGGCGUAAAGAGCGUGUAGGCGGCCUGAAAGGUCCGCUGUGAAAACUCGAGGCUCAACCUCGAGACGUCGGUUGAAACCAUCUGGCUAGAGUCCGGAAGAGGAGUGUGGAAUUCCCGGUGUAGCGGUGAAAUGCGCAGAUAUCGGGAAGAACACCCGUGGCGAAGGCGGCACUCUGGGACGGUACUGACGCUGAGACGCGAAAGCGUGGGGAGCGAACAGG